rnacentral:rRNA from 1 species
CCUACGGGAGGCAGCAGUGAGGAAUAUUGGUCAAUGGAGGCAACUCUGAACCAGCCAAGUAGCGUGCAUGAUGACGUCCUUCUGGGUUGUAAACUGUUUUUAUGCGGGGAUAAACUGCGUCACGUGUGGCUUAUUGCAGGUCCCGCAUGAUUAAGGACCGGCUAAUUCCGUGCCAGCAGCCGCGGUAAUACGGAGGGUCCGGGCGUUAUCCGGAUUUAUUGGGUUUAAAGGGUGCGCAGACCGCGCCUUAAGCUUGAAGUUAAAGGCCGGGGCUCAACGGUGGCACUGCAGUGCAAACUGGGGGGCUUGAGUGCGGCAGAGGUAAGCGGAAUUCGUGGUGUAGCGGUGAAAUGCUUAGAUAUCACGAGGAACACCAGUUGCGAAGGCAGCCUACCGUAGCGUUACUGACGCUGAGGCUCGAAGGUGCGGGUAUCGAACAGGAUUAGAUACCCCAGUAGUC